UUUCUCCUUACACAUGAUCUUAUCUCCUACAUUAUGGCUAUAGCCAAGCUAGAACUUGUAGGAUAAUUUGGAGUUUUGGAAGAGAGGAGAAAUUAUAGAGAAAUGAGGUGAAGGAAGCUGUGAGAAGAACAGACAACAAAGGAAAGAAGUAUCUGUGAAAGAUUCAAAUGAAAAUCUCUAUUGCACAAUUGGAAAAUACUUAUCUGGAGCUCAAGAGAGUGAUCCAGAUUAGGGCUAAUAAAUAUGGAUAAAAUCAGUUAAUACUGUAACACCAUAUGGCAUAGAUACUAUUAUAAUCCUCAUUUUACAGAUGAGGAAAGUGGUAUGCAGAGAGGUGAUGUAAUUUGUCUGCAAUUACACACCAUCUGCAGUGUGAUUUGAAGCUCUUAACAAGCUCCCAAGAAACACCAAUGUUUAAGACUGCAAAGGAACUGUCAAAAUGCAAUGGAAACUAGAAGAGUUUUGAGAUGGCAAGAGUGGUCAAGAGAGCCAAAUGUUGCUGAGAGUUCAAGAGAAAGAGGUGAUUUUGUGCAGAAAUAGAUGAUACAGAAGAAAAGCAUUAGAAAGAUUCUAAAAAUAUCUCUUUGGUGAGAACUUUGCAAUCAGAACACCCCACAUCGCAUAGAAGGUUGUUACUGCUAUCCGUCCUUAAGGGAAAAACAUCACCGGUGUUAUGGCAAUGUCACUAGAGAGGUGUAAAGUGGUGUCAUCAUGGCUCACUCACUGCGGUCUCAAACUUCUUGCCUCAAGUGAUGGACCUGAACUCAACUCAAGUGAUCCUCCUGCUUCAGCCUCCCAAAAAUGCUAAGAUUACAGCCAUAAGCCACCAUGACCAGUCCCUUUUCUUUUUUUUUAACCUUUUUAAAAUGCUCAUUUCUUUGUUCUCAUUGAAUCCUAAAGAUGGAUGUAAGUUAUGAUAAACUGCAUUGCUAUUCAUGUGAUCCUUUCCUUUCUACUGUCUCCUCAUCUCUUCAGAAAGGCAGCAUUUUUUUUGAGUUUAUAAUGAUAUUGAUAGCCAGUUUAAGUGCAACCGUCAGGAAGCAAUAUAAAAUCAAUUUAAAAUCAGUAGGUUUUAGGAAUCAUUUCUUAAAAUGGAGAUUUUUAAAAGAAUGUACAUGUAUGGAAAGAAUGAACUUAGAAUAUUUGCAAAUAGUAAUUAUAUUGACAUAGUAAGAAGGUGUAGUAGAGUAUAAAACUAUGGAUGCUAACAUAAUUAGAAUAAAACUGAUCACAUAAUUUUUUGAAACAGGUAUAUCUGUUCUUAAAUGUGAUGCUCACUUAUCAAAAGAGAAAAAUAUUUUCAACUCUUGUCAGCAGAAACUAAUUGUUGGCAUAUUUAAGGUAAAACACAUGGAUCCAAAAGCACAAUUACAAACUUUUCUGCAUUAUGAAAAAAUAAUAAAACUGGCUUCUCAAACACCAAUUUUUUAUUAAAAUCAAAAUUUCAAGCCAAUCAUCAAAAAAACAUGUUUUGUC
rnacentral:lncRNA from 1 species